rnacentral:rRNA from 1 species
UGCAGUCGAACGAUAGUUGGGGCUUGCCCCAACGAAAAGUGGCGCACGGGUGCGUAACGCGUAUGCAACCUACCUUAUUCAGGGGGAUAGCCCGAAGAAAUUCGGAUUAACACCGCAUAAAAUCACAGCUCAGCAUUGAGUAAUGAUCAAAUAUUUAUAGGAAUAAGAUGGGCAUGCGUGUCAUUAGCUAGUUGGCGGGGUAACGGCCCACCAAGGCGACGAUGACUAGGGGAUCUGAGAGGAUGACCCCCCACACUGGUACUGAGACACGGACCAGACUCCUACGGGAGGCAGCAGUAAGGAAUAUUGGUCAAUGGAGGCAACUCUGAACCAGCCAUGCCGCGUGCAGGAAGACAGCCCUCUGGGUCGUAAACUGCUUUUAUUCGGGAAUAAACCUUUCUACGUGUAGAGAGCUGAAUGUACCGAAGGAAUAAGGAUCGGCUAACUCCGUGCCAGCAGCCGCGGUAAUACGGAGGAUCCAAGCGUUAUCCGGAUUUAUUGGGUUUAAAGGGUGCGUAGGCGGCUUAUUAAGUCAGGGGUGAAAGACGGUGGCUCAACCAUCGCAGUGCCUUUGAUACUGAUGAGCUUGAAUGAACUAGAGGUAGGCGGAAUGUGACAAGUAGCGGUGAAAUGCAUAGAUAUGUCACAGAACACCGAUUGCGAAGGCAGCUUACUAUGGUUUUAUUGACGCUGAGGCACGAAAGCGUGGGGAUCAAACAGGAUUAGAUACCCUGGUAGUCCACGCCCUAAACGAUGAAUACUCGCUGUUAGCGAUACACAGUUAGCGGCUAAGCGAAAGCGUUAAGUAUUCCACCUGGGGAGUACGCCCGCAAGGGUGAAACUCAAAGGAAUUGACGGGGGCCCGCACAAGCGGAGGAGCAUGUGGUUUAAUUCGAUGAUACGCGAGGAACCUUACCCGGGCUUGAAAGUUAGUGAAUGAUUUAGAGAUAGAUCAGUGAGCAAUCACACGAAACUAGGUGCUGCAUGGCUGUCGUCAGCUCGUGCCGUGAGGUGUUGGGUUAAGUCCCGCAACGAGCGCAACCCCUAUGUUUAGUUGCCAGCACGUUAAGGUGGGGACUCUAAACAGACUGCCUGUGCAAACAGAGAGGAAGGAGGGGACGACGUCAAGUCAUCAUGGCCCUUACGUCCGGGGCUACACACGUGCUACAAUGGGUGGUACAGAGGGCAGCAAGCUGGCAACAGCAAGCAAAUCUCAAAAAGCCAUUCACAGUUCGGAUAGAGGUCUGCAACUCGACCUCUUGAAGUUGGAUUCGCUAGUAAUCGCGUAUCAGCAAUGACGCGGUGAAUACGUUCCCGGGCCUUGUACACACCGCCCGUCAAGCCAUGGAAGUUGGGGGUACCUAAAGUAUGUAACCGCAAGGAG